rnacentral:misc_RNA from 1 species
UAUUCAACAAAGAACAUUUAAUUAUGAUUUUGGUUGUGCAGUCAGAUGAGUUAUAUUUUUAAAGACGAUAAUUGGAGGGCUGGUUGAAUUUGAGAAGAGCAAGUAAGAUAUUUCCUCAACCAGCCCUGCUAGUGACCAUGAUUUUCAUGUCAAUUUUCAACCCUGACUAUGUAUAUUGUAUGUAUAACAUUGUUUGUAGAGUUCUGACUGAAAACAUGGCAGAAAGUACUGCAACAGAAGACUGUGAUGCCCAACAGGCCCAGGAUGAAGGAUCCGUGGAUGAAAAACAAGCUGCGGUAGUGAACUACUUCCAGAGCUGUGUAUUCAGGAACGUUGGAGUUGUACAGAUCGGUGGCAACAACUCCAUUCUCGAUGAGGCCGGCAGACAUUUACCCAAGAUAGAAGGUGGUAAGCAAGAUUACACAAAAAAUGACAUGUUUCUGGCACUCAUUACCAGCUUUCUGAAUCCAACAAACUCCUUCAAGGCCAAAGAAAUGAAACUGCUGCUACUGGAACAGAAAUUGGAGAGACUGUUUACAGAUAUAUACAAAAAGAAAACAACUUUUAGAGAUGUUUAUGGUAAACCUCUUUCAUUUUUUAUUGAACGAAAUGUUGAAAAGUUUGACUUGAUAAAGAAAAAAAGUGCUUAUGUUGUAAAAUUAAAGUUGUCCAAAGUCAAAAAAGGAAAACUAUCAACAGCAGAAUCUACAAAGAUGGUUGCCGAUGAAUCAGAUGAAAGUUGUGGUGGAGAUGGCCAAAUUUCCGUAACAGAGAAAACUGGUGCAGAUACGUUAGAGGCAUCAAUUCACCCUGAAGUUCCUGAUGACACUGAUAAAGGUCAUAUCGAUGAUGAAGUAUGGAGCCCAGUAGAAGGGGGAAAAAAAAGUAAAAAGAAAUUGAUGGCCAGAAAAAAAGAUAAUGACUCUACAGGUUGUGGUAGUUAUUGCUUACAAAAGCCUGAUUUGCAAUUUGCUAUAGACAAAACUUUCAUAGAAGACCUCUUGAGACAAGAGAAGAGUAACUUUUUGAUAUUUUACCCUGAUGAUAAAAUAUACAAAUGUAAUCCUCACCGGUUUAUGCAGGAUGUCGUUAGCUUGUGGAAUACUCCUUGUAGACACGAUGGUUUCAUUGUCCUUGGGGUUAAACGUAAUACAUGUCCACCACACAGGGUGAUAGGUCUUGAAGUUUCAAAUGGUGAUGAUUUUUACCAGACUCUGAUUGUGUCAGAAUGUUUUGGAAUGAGACCUCAGUACAAAUAUACAGAGUAUGUGUAUGAUGAGCAGAUUAUUGGGGUCAUCACUGUUCCAAGUAGUCAUGGGAAGGGGUGUCCAUCUGUUGUCAUAAACGAUUCUUGUGCCCCACAUUUUAUUAAAGGACAGUUGUGGGCUCGGUUUAACAAGGGAAAUAAAGUAAUACCUGCAGAGGAUUUCUUUACAGGACAAAUAUACCAGUGGUUUCUCUCAACAGGCAAACCAGCAUCAGCCAUUGACACUGGUUCAACAUUAACAGCUGUUGAAGUGAGUCCAGCAUCAACUGUACAAACUUGUCCAGUAACCAUGGCCAAAGAGUCACAAACAUCAGAGAGUGAGACUAAAUCUUCUUUACCUGAAACAGUAAAGUUCCCACAGCCCCAAGAAUCCAUCUGUGAGAAGAAAACAGAGUUUGCAUCAGCUGUAGAUAAUUUCAAAAAAGGUCAUUUUGUUUUGGUAUCUGGCGAAUCACCCAAUAUAUCCAAACAUUUAGAAAAUCUUGCUCUUGUCCCUUGGAUAUCAGUCUGUGACUUUGACAAGUACAGCAGAGACAGAGGCUUGUUGUCGUGUCUUGAGGAUGUCAUUAGGAAGAGACGGUAUUUGAAUGUCUGCACAUGGAAGACUCCCACAACUAAUUUAACAGAGAGUGGAACACAGUGGUGCUGCAUGAGGGGACUGAGAGAAAUUCCUGACAGUGACACACCAGAUAAUCCUGUCCAAUGGCUUAGGAAAACAAAGACUGGGCUGGACUCGGUGUGCAUCAAUCUGGGAAGAUUUGCUGAGGACUACACUGUCCUCAAAGUGAUCAUUCUGUGGCCAGAUGAAGAAAUAAGUGCACAAUGUAUCUACAAGUUCUUGUGCCGUCUCGAUGAAUACUUAACAACAUCAAAGCUAAUUGUUGUCUGCUUCAAAGAGCCGAAGACAGAGGCUUCGAAGUCGGCAUUACGGUUUCUGAUUAAUGAACAUGGGGAGGAUAUAGUUCAGGUAACACUGCACGAGGAAGAGCUGUGCUAUGAGAUACAGAACAUGCUGGAGAGUAGACAGAUUGGAACGCAAAUUAAGUACACUUUGCCAAAAGAAGAGGGACUCUCUAGUUCCUGUAUUGGGGAUAAGGAUGCUGCGUGGCUGCGUGAAGACAUGGAUGUUCUCUAUGAGUCAAACCCGUACACCAAAUGUUCCACUGACAUAGACGUUCUGGACAAAGAGGCUGACAAUUUUUUUCAUGGAGGCACAAUUCACUGGUUUGCUUGGUAUGAAUUUGGUGCCGGCCAUUUGGAAGUUGAAAGGGAUAUCAUGAAUAAUAUUUUGGAUCACAUCAAACAGAAAUGUAAAAAAGAGUACAGGAGUUUCAUUAUUACACUAUUUUAUGCUCCUGGUGGUGGAGGAACUACACUAGCUCAGCGGAUUUUGUGGGAACUUCAUCGUAGCAUCCCAUGCGCUGAAGUGAAGAAACGAGCAACCAUUGAAGACUUGACAGAUAAAAUAAAUUUCCUUCAUGAGAAGACGCACCUUCCAGUGCUUGUGCUUGUGGAUGGUGAUGAUGAGGUGAGAGUUAAACAGCUGGUUAAAAGUCUGAAGUCUGUCUGUGCUAUAUUCCUGUAUGUUAAAAGAUAUCCCUAUCAAAUUCCAGACCCAGCAAGUCGACCACGGGAUAAUAUAUUUUGGUUGAGUGGAAAGGUAACUGGUACUGAAGCCAACAAACUUGCCCAGAAGUUUGGAGAUCGAUGUCAAGAAGACUCAAAGAAACAGAAGCUGCGUAAUAUGAGCAAAGAGGUUUGUGAGAAAGGCAAAUCUCAUUACGUUUUUGAAUUCGGAAUGGCUGUAUACCUUGCAGAAUUCAAAGGUGUUGCAUCUUACGUCAGAGGCUACAUGGAUUUAGAAAAAAAUCCUUCUAUCAAACUUUUGCCCUGGCAGAAAAUCCUUGUAUAUUUGUCUCUUGUGUAUUAUUACGGUCAGUCUUCUAUGCCAUGUCAGUUUUUUGCACCUCUCUUGGGUCUACCAUCAAACUUCAAUUUGGAUAUAUGCGAUUUUCAGUUUCCUAUUAGCGCAUUUGUAGUGGAAGGCCCAAGCAAUGGUAGAACCAAAGAUAUCAGGAUUUGCCAUUAUUUUGUUGCCAAGGAGAUACUUGAACACGUACUAAAUCGAUCCAACAAAAAUCCCCAAGCAGAAGGCCUAAGCAAAAUUGCCAGGAGAGGAUUGAAAGACUUGUGCCUUGAGUUCAUAGCCUAUGCCAGCCACAAGAAACUGAAGUCCUCUUUAACAGCUUGGACCAUCAUUCGUAUUCUGACUCAGACAUUUAUCUUCAGAGAUAACAAGGAUGUGGGGGAGAAUGAAACCCAGACGAGGAAGCCUUCAUUUUCACAGAUCAUGAGUGACAUUGACAUGGAUCCACCUUUUACCGGCAGGCUGGAGGUUUUGGAAAAACUGACUAGUUCAUUUCCAGGAGAUCCCAACUUCCAAGCUCACCUGGGGCGCUUCUAUGCUUACUGCAGGAGAGAUGAGGACAGCAAGGCUGAAGCAUGUUUCAGGCAUGCUCUUGAGCUUUGUAACCAACACAAUCUUGGAAAAGGUGAAAACGAGAUCGAUGAAGGCAUGAGAUCUACUCUCAUGCACAUAUACCACAUGUAUGGUAUGAUAUUUAAGAGAAAGGUAUCGAGGUAUACAGGACGGAGUCCAGUGGACAGUCCAGAAAUACAAACGCCUGCAGAAGAAUUCAUGCAAAGAGCAGAAAACAUCACAUCUGAUGCUGAAACAGCUUGCAUUUAUUUUGGACUGAGUGGCAAAAGUAAACCACAGGGACAUGAUGAGAUAUACAAUUACGCCUUUUCCAGUGAGAUCAUGGUCCGUCUUCAUGUCUGUGACUUUGUGGAAAGAAACUACAAGGAUGGUGGAAUUACACAGUUCCUGCUCAAUGAGCCUGACCAUCCAGCAGCCAAGUUCAUCCGAGAGACUGUCUGCUCUGUUGAAGAUUUAAUUGUAGAGUGCUACAGUGUUGUGGACCCUGAGAACAUUGGUAAUGAAUUUGCCAAGGCUCUCUACUGGUACCAUUCUCUCUUCAAGAGUCAUUCGACCAGACUUGAAGAAAUGUUUCUUGAUGAUGAUGUCUACUCUAGAAGACUGAAAAUCGCUGCUAUGAAGCUGAAAUAUUUGAGGCAUGCUGAUGGCACUAGCAGUGUCUUCGAAGGUAGCAACAUGUUAUGGGAUGACCUAAAUAAACUGGUUCACUUGUAUGAGAUAAACUUCAAAGAUGCCCUCACAUUUGGAGAAACCAACAAAAGGCAGCUUGAUGGAGACUACAAGGAAUGGCUGUUUGCCAUUCGAAACCCAAAGUUCAAAAUCUGCUAUUCUGUUGAGAAGGUGCUGCACCAUGUACGUAACUGGCAUGAUACAAUCCCAAGCCCGACAUCCAUGUUUUACAUGUUUAUUUGCACAAGUCUCGUUGGCUUUGGCACAAAAUCUCAGAAGGGUAUCAGUGAAACAUUGGUGGAAGCUCAGCUUCUGAAAGAGGAACUCCAAAAGCUCAGCAAAUCUGUUCUGAGACCAAGAUACCCUCGUGAGUGGCUUGGAAAAGAUGACACGGGAAUAAAAUGUCUGAUUUCAAGUAACCAGAUAGUGGGCCACAUUGAAGGUCGGCGUAUUAAAGACUCCACGUCAUCCCUGUUGACAGUGUGUAAAGGUACAAUAUGCUACCCAAACAAGAAAAAACUGGCUGGCUUUAUCGACCUGGAUCUUGGCGACAACUCGGUUCCUGUUAAAACAUUUUUCAUCCCUCUCUUAGCAGACCUUGAGGGGGCCAGGUACGCUGGUGAAAGGGUGCAGUUCUAUUUAGCUUUUUCCCUCGAUCAUGGAUAUGAAGCGUUUCAGGUAACUCUUCUUGCAAAAUACCCAUGUUUGGGCUGUGGACAGAAGACCGAGAUUCUGAUGGAUGAAAAGAUUGUCCUGUGCCCAUGUGGGAGCUUUGUAGAACAAGGUGAACCUGCAGUUGAUGAGGAAGCAGCUGUUUAAAUAAACAUCAGUUUUAACCAUAUUGAAUGGAAUAGAGAAGAAAGGAAUGUUUGUUUGGUGACACCUCAGCACAUUUUUAAACUACAGCUAUUUGGUGUUUAACUUCGACACUAGGUUUAGAGAAUGAGAGAGUAAACCCACUGCUGUCACAUGAUAUAUAAUAAUAAGAAUAAUAAAGUCUUUAUUUAACAUACUGGCCUCUGAAAAUUCCAAUAAUGAUCAUUUCAUUCACUAUCGUUCCUGUAAAUCUAAGUUUGUGGAAUCCAUUUUCCGUUUGCGAACAAAGUCAUAUAUAUAUAUAUAUAUAUAUAUAUGCCUCAAAAUGGCACAAGAGUGGAAAGUAGCCAAGUGGAAUGGCUCUUGCUCGAGAUGACUCAUUGCCAGUGGGUUGCUGUACCUUUCAUUUAAAUCGGUGUUCUGCGACUGAAGUGCCAGAGGUCAUGCCAUUUGCUCUCCUGUCUGGGUAUAAGUGGAAAAAGUGCACAUACUCAAUUCUCAGAGGCUUGACAUAGGCUAGUACAAAUGAAAAGCAGCAAUGGAUCUUUUAUAAGUACUUUCCCACAGACAUAACAGCAGUGAUCCUUGAUGUACCAGUCAUGCAGGGAACAUUCAAUAUCACGUUGCGAUUCUCUACACAAGUUUCAGAGAUCGCUACACAAUUUUAAAACAUAGUUGCUAUUAAAUCAAUUUUUAAUUGACUAGAAAUAUCGCCAAUAAUUUUUUUUAAAUUAAAAUGUUCCCUGUCAUGGGGCACUGACUGGGAUGGGAUGAUUGCAGUGGAAGUGACAAGAAUGGAAGAUCAUUAUAGUAACUCUUCAUGUAAUCGAGUUACAUCCCUUUUCUUUUUACAAGUCUGGGUUUUCUUGCUAGUGCUGUACUGUUGAGAACCCAUCAUUGUCCUUUUACCAAUUUUAACUUAAUAUUAUUAGUUUCAAUUAUAUAACCAAUUGUGAAAUAUAUUAAGAAAUAACACAAUUGUAUGACAUUCUGAUAUCAAUAUUGUAUUUUCAAAACAAGCAAAUAGCUGUAUACUGAUUAUCACAAUAACUUAGAUUGUGUAUAAGGUCUUCAUUUCUUAAUUUUACACUGUGUUGCAUAUGAUUUGUGGUCAAUCAAACAUUUUAGUACUGAACAGUUUAUAAAAGGACAAAUUUUGUACAGUGCAUUGUUUUUACCAAAUGUACCUUCUCUUUGUUUUGUACAGUGCAUUGUUUUUACCAAAUGUACCUUCUCUUCAUUUUAUACAGUGCAUUGUGUUUACUAAAUGUACCUUCUCUUCAUUUUGAAGAAUAUACAUGGUACAAAAUGCAUGUGAUAUUUUGUAAUUGAUUAUUCAAACAUAUAAUUCUUAUGAAAUGAUUAUGUCACUUUUUUCUUGCAUGAACAAUUAUUAAUCUUUAUUUGACUGCUUUUUAUGUUGUCUUCGAAUUUAAGAGAGUUUUCGUUUUCUAUGACUGUUUUGUAACCCAAUUCUUCCAGCUGCCAAAUUAAUUCAUGUUUUCAAUUAUAUAUUGUGUGUACAUGUACAGCUAAACUGACUGAUACUAUAAACUGUUGUUUUAGUGUAUUUUAUUAGAUUCUAUUUUGUAUGUUUUAGAUUAUAUUUUAUUUUAUUAAUCUACAAAGUUGGAACACAUUUGGAUAAGGUUAUAACAGAGAGACGCUAAAGUCUGUGAUGUUGAGACGGAAAUACUGUCCAAAAAUACACAAGAGCUUGUCUCGAUAACCAUUACUUCUCAUACGAACAUGUGCAAUCUGAUUAAAAUUAUCUCUACUGGUCUCACCAGUAGAUCUAACAGCAUUGUGUGGACUUCCAU